UUCCUGGGGUUGGGGGCUGCCCCUACGAGGCGUUACAGGCAUGGCUCCUGUGCUGUGUUUGUGUCAGUAGGUGGCACAGAGAAGCAGGCUAGAUCUACGCUCAGUGCUCUGAUGGGUGGGCACUCAGAAUGAUUACUAGCCUGACAGAAUUUGCAAAUUUUCUUUUGAUCCUUUGUGGGGGUUGCAGGGUCUGAUCCCCAAUAUUUGAGCCUGCCAAGAAAGGAAGAGGACUACACUUGUAAACUGUUUCCGAGGGGGACAUGAUCCUGACUCUUCAACACAUGUUUAAAAUGAGGUCUGAAAGUCAUGGGCCAAAAUGAAGAUGUUUUGUCCUGAGCCUUACAAGGGAGCAGAGAAGUCAUGAAGUCCAACUCCUAACCCACGGAGGAUUCCUGUUGUGGCAUCACUGGCAGAUGGAGCAGCGUCAUGGUGCAAGCGACGGGAACGAGAUGGGAUGCAGUUCUGAAAGGUUUCCAAGGAGUCCGGCUCCAUUCGUCCUUCAGUGACCUUCAUCUUCAGUUUCACUUCAAUUCAGCAUGGGUGCUUUCCUCUAGCCUCAAUGUGCAUUUUGGAGAAUCAUCACUUGGGAAAUGUGAUUUCGAGUGAGCCAUGUUCUGAGCCUCCUUGAGAGCGCCAGUUUGCUUGUGUUCUUUAAGUUUCUUUGUCAGCUGAGCUUAGUGGAGGGUAUACAGGUAAUCCUUGAGUUAUGAAUGUAACCCAAGGAUUCGUUUGAUUGAAUCAUGUCAAAUGAAUGUGAUCACUCCCUGCUUUCCCCAAUGCAUUUGUUAAUCGAAUGAGCAGGUCAUUAAAUGCACAUGAGGUAUCUCAGAGUGGGGAAGAGAUGUGGGACAUCCUCGAAUCCACUGAAAUACUUCAUACUCUCCUGGGGUCCCCACAAUUACUCCCCCCCCCCCAAUCUUGCCCCGCCUGCCUUGCUAGCGUCCCGGAUUCCACUUACUCCUCCCCAUCCCAUUUCCCAUGGAUUACUUACGUUUUGAAAAGGUCCAGAAGAGGCUGACCCGCUUGCAGAGAAGCCAAAGUGUUUUAUUCAGAUGGUGGCGAAGCUGUAAGAAUGUGAAAUCUAAGGAAAACAUUUUCGCCAGCUUCUGAGAAAAGACUUCGGCUUGGGGCCGUGUGUCCAGCAGGCUUCUGGUAGUAGAAAAGGCCUGGGCAGGGCCACAGCAGCCUUCUGCUCCAAGACAGCUUCAGGGAUUGAGACACCAGCAGCAGCAGCCAAUCUCAUUUGAACUACUAGACAGUCAGUAGCAAGCAGGAGACUGCUUAUUGCCGGUCAGACUGGGCCCAAACUAACCUGCAGGCACUCGGGGCAGAGAAGCCGGUCUUUUAUUCAGAUGGGGAAAGCUGUUUUCUCUCUGGUUGUUUGUAUGGGUGAACAACUGCUGUGGAGCUGCAAGAUUCGUCAUUUCGGGCCUUGUUUGGAAAUACUAGUGGGGUGCUGACCAUGUAGCUUCAAAUGUUCGCUAAAGGAAUUCUUGUAACCGGGGGAUUAACCUGUACGGAGCAGCUGUCUGAAGACAGAGGCGCCUCCAGGUUUACUGCAAAUAUUGAAUCCAGGAGCGGCCCCAGAAGCCACCCAAAAGGGAGAUGGCAGCAGAUCCGCCCCUCGCCCGGCCUGGGUUUAUUGUCCUUCCUCAAAUAUACAUUCUGGAAUUAAAUCCAGUAUCCUAAUGAAAGCUGGCCAAUGCAGAAUAGAAGAGAAAUAUUAUAAAGAAGUUGCAAAUAAAGUUUUCCUCAAAUCAGAAUGGCCUCUCUGUUCUCAAUGACUCCUGCAAGUUUUGAAUCGGCCCAGUGCUUAUCCUACCUGGGCUUCUUUCUAGGUAGGGGGAGGCUUCAAGAGGGGAUGGGAGGUUGCAAUGGCUUCCGUGAAUGUGGCUGGCUCACAUGGGGCUCCAUCCUGACUGCCCCCCCCCCCCCCCCGGACUGACAUGGGUCUCACCAGCUCAGUCCCUGAAGAAAGGGGGAGAACAGGCAUCCCCCAACAACAGCCUUGUCCCCCCUAAAAUGCCUUUUGGCUGCAAGAGAAUUUUCCAAAAGUCUCUUGACAAGCCCAUCCUCCAAUAGUUGGUUUAUUUAUUAGAUUUUUUAUCCUGCUUUUACUAAUUUAUAAGGAAUUCAAGGCAGCAAGCAUACUACAGGCAGUCCUCAACGUACGACCACAGCUGAGCCCAAAAUUUCUGUUGCUAAGUGAAACAUUUUUGAGUUUUGCCCCAUUUUACAAACUUCCUUGUCACCGUUUGUUGUUCAGUGAAUCUAGCUUCCCCGUUGACUUGUCAGAAGGUGGCAAAAAGAGAAGCCUGGGACACUACGACCGUCAUAAAUACAAACCCAUGGCCAAACAUCUGAAUUUCAAUCACGUGAUCACAGGGAUGCUACAAUGGUCAAAACUGAAAAAGGGUCACAAAGGACUUUUCAGUGCUGCUGUAACUUAGAAAGGUCACUAAAUAAACUUGUAAAUCGAG